GUGCUCACUUCAGCAGCACACAUACUAGAACUGGAACGAUGCAGAGAAGAUUAGUAUCCUCUGCACAAGGAUGACAUGCAAAUUUGUCAAGUGUUCCAUAUUAAA
ensembl:snRNA U6 U6 spliceosomal RNA